rnacentral:lncRNA from 1 species
CACUCUCUCUCUCUCUCUCUCUCUCUCUCUCUCUCUCUCUCUCUCUCUCUAUAUAUAUAUAUAUAUAUAUAUAUAAUUAGUCUAUUAUAUUAUCAAUAGUAUCAAUUACUUACCAUUAGAUUUUUGACGCUUAAAUAAAGGAAUGUAUAGCUAGGAUGAUAAUGAUCCUCUAGGACUGAUUCGGUGAUUAGUUGAAUAGUAUAAUCUAACGGAUUGAAAUGAUCAAAGAGCUAGAUCAAACGGUACAAAAUUCGAUAGCACUAAGCAUUUGGUACUAUCAAUAAUAAUUGUGAGACUCCAAAUAGUACUCUAUAUAAGAUAUAAUAGGAUUAGAACUCUUAACCCGACUUAAACAUUUUGAGUGGUGGCUAGGCACAAGAGGUUAAGAGAGUUAAGCAUACUAGGAUGGGAGUAGUCCUAGGAUCGAUGACCCCUUGAGAAGUUGGGGCGUCACAGAUGGUAUCAGAACCAAUUACCAACCGGAAGUGUGAGAUGAGUCUCGGUUGAGCCAUGAUUAUAUAGCGAGGAGAGCGAGGCCCUUAUGCUAUUGGCCAUUGUGGGUGGAGCGGAGUUCACCACAAGGUCGGUUUAGGCUGGCGAGACGAGUUUCACAUCGCUUGGUAUUUGUGAGUCUGAGUCUGACGAGGACGUCAGGGCUUAAGGGGGGGAGAUUGUGACACCCCAGUUAGUUCUGUAUAUAAGAUAUAAUAGGGCUAAAACUCUUAACCCGCUUUAAACAUUUUGGGUGGCGGCUAGACCCAAAAGAUUAAGAGAGUUAAGCGUCCUAGGACAGAAGUAGUCCCAGGAUGGGCGACAAAAUCCUACUCUAAUUCCUCUCAUUCUCUUUUUCACUUGCUCGCAGAGUUGCUUUUCCUAAUUUUUUUUUAAGAAAAAACUUCAAAUACCACCCCCGUGGUUUCACACUUUCUCACUUUAGUGUCCUGUGGUUUAAAGUGUAUCAAUUUAGUGCCCUAUGAUUUUAGUUUUAUCUUUUUAUUAUCGAUUUCAUUAUUUUUUUCGUUAAAUUAAUGACAAAGUUAAAACUAAAGGGUCCUAAACUGAAUAUUUGAUAAACCUAGGUGGGGUAUCUGAAGUUUUUGUAUAUAAUUUAACGCAAUAUUAACGGAAAAGCUGCGAAAAAGAUAAAAAUAAAACCACAGGACACUAACUUGAUACACUUUAAACUAUUAGGUACUAAAGUGAGAAAGUGCGAAACCACGGGGGUAGUAUUUGAAGUUUAUCCUCUUUUAUAUUAUAAUAUCGUAUUUCAUACAUUCAUUUUGUGUGUUGAACUAUUAGACAUUUUUUGUAUCAAAAUUUUAGAUAAUGUUUUAUAAAAAUUAAACUAUAGAUUGCAUGAUGUUAAGAAUUUCAAGCGGCUCGUUUAGGGCUCGAGCUUGCUCGAC